rnacentral:rRNA from 1 species
CCUACGGGGUGCAGCAGUGGGGAAUAUUGGACAAUGGGCGAAAGCCUGAUCCAGCCAUGCCGCGUGUGUGAAGAAGGCCUUCGGGUUGUAAAGCACUUUCAGUGGGGAAGAAAGCCUUGGGGCUAAUACCCUCGAGGAAGGACAUCACCCACAGAAGAAGCACCGGCUAACUCCGUGCCAGCAGCCGCGGUAAUACGGAGGGUGCGAGCGUUAAUCGGAAUUACUGGGCGUAAAGCGCGCGUAGGCGGUCUGAUAAGCCGGUUGUGAAAGCCCCGGGCUCAACCUGGGAACGGCAUCCGGAACUGUCAGGCUAGAGUGCAGGAGAGGAAGGUAGAAUUCCCGGUGUAGCGGUGAAAUGCGUAGAGAUCGGGAGGAAUACCAGUGGCGAAGGCGGCCUUCUGGACUGACACUGACGCUGAGGUGCGAAAGCGUGGGUAGCAAACAGGAUUAGAUACCCUGGUAUC